GCGGUUGUGGUCUAACGGUUAUGACGUACGGUUGUGGUCCGUGAAAAGGGAGUUCGACUCUCCCCUUCCGCC
rnacentral:tRNA from 1 species